GACGAACGCUGGCGGCGUGCUUAACACAUGCAAGUCGAACGGAAAGGCCCUGCUUUUGUGGGGUGCUCGAGUGGCGAACGGGUGAGUAACACGUGAGUAACCUGCCCUUGACUUUGGGAUAACUUCAGGAAACUGGGGCUAAUACCGGAUAGGAGCUCCGGCGGCAUGGUGGGGGUUGGAAAGUUUCGGCGGUUGGGGAUGGACUCGCGGCUUAUCAGCUUGUUGGUGGGGUAGUGGCUUACCAAGGCUUUGAGGGGUAGCCGGCCUGAGAGGGUGACCGGCAACAUUGGGACUGAGAUACGGCACAGACUCCUACGGGAGGCAGCAGUGGGGAAUAUUGAACAAUGGGCGGAAGCCUGAUGCAGCAACGCCGCGUGCGGGAUGACGGCCUUCGGGUUGUAAACCGCUUUCGCCUGUGACGAAGCGUGAGUGACGGUAAUGGGUAAAGAAGCACCGGCUAACUACGUG
rnacentral:rRNA from 1 species